UGCUUGCUUCUUAUAAAUUGGCAAAGCCUAUGAUGCUGUAAUCAUUUGAAUUCAGGUGAUUAUAACCCCCUUAUAAAUAAAUAUUUAAUGUUUAAAUGAACAACUCUAUUACAAAGCAUAUGCUUAUCUAAAUAUUUUUACAUAUAUAAAAAUUGUGAUUUUUUUUUAAGAAUCCUAGUUACAUUCAAUAUGUUUACUACCUAACCAAAAAUAAGUGUAGAUCUACAAAGUGUGCUCACAUAGAGAAAGGAAAGUAGGGCAUAGAGACGUUAUUCUUUAUACAUAUUCUGAAAUAUGUCUAAAUUCUAAAAUUUUAAAGUUUUAGUCACCAGUGUAGCCAGUUAAUUCAGCUGGUACCAGGGACAAAAAAUUCCAUGUGAAACUGCAUCAGUGUACCCCAUAUUCUGAAAGCCUUAACAUACCAUUCUGUGUAAUAAAUUUGUACUUUAGGAAAUAUUUUAAUUUAGUGACUACUGAAUAAAUUACAAAAUAUCAACAUUUAAUCUUCUAUUAAAAUCAGAUGCCUGAAUGCAAAUUUACUCACUGUACUUUUUUCAAAAGCAACUACCAUCUCUUCUUCUAAAAUGCUGCAUCUUGCAUUAUUUCUAUUUAUGAACACAUUUUAAUUGUAUAAAUAAAUCUUCAGCUAGAUUAAUACUGUAAUCUGAAUUCUAACUUACCAGAAAUGUUCGCUGAAUAGCAACAGCUAGGUUGAUAACUUGCCUGUUCUGAACAUUAAGUCAAAAACUUCUGAAUUGUGUUUCACACAUAUUUUCACCCAAUAAGUCAGUUUUCAAAGUUUAAUACAGUUGUGAGAAUUCAAAUUUUACCCUCACAAAUUAAAAAUAAAAGAUCAUUACGAUGAUUUCUUGAGUACAAAAUGGUACAAAAAUCCUAAACACCCUUUUUGCAAAAAAAAAACCCUGUGAUUAAAUAUUAAUGUCAGGAUAAAAAAUAAAGGACAUUAUGGUGCAAAUUCAAGAUCUCAUACCUUGGUCGAGUCAGAAUGUUCAAUUUUCUUUUAAGUUCUUGAUUCUCGGCGCGGAGCUGCUCGAUGGUUUCCUCGUACUGCCGAAGCCGCUCCCGCAGCUCUGCGUCGCCGACCCCAUUCUCGUCCUGCUCGUCGCCGUCGUCGUCCUUGAAGAGGGUGUGAACUGGCUUCGGAGUCGACUCCUCUAGGUGGUCAAACGCCUCGAACAGCUCUAGGUCGCCAAAAUCCACCUCCGCCGCCAUUUUGGGCUAUGGGAAAGAUACGAGAAGAGGCGGAGCUGGCCCCCCCGGUCGAAGGCAAAGGUUGUUGGGCGGCACCGCUCUCUAGGGCUCCGGCCGCCCUAAGCCACCCAGUACGGUUUCCUCCAAACGUAGAACGCUGAAGCUGCAUAAUAGGCGGGCCAGUCCUGUGAGACUACAACUCCCAGAAUGCAAUGGUGUCUCUUAUACCCACUUCUGAGUUUGCUCGGGAGCAAGGCAUGCUGGAUAUGGGUUUCUAAUCGACUGUUAACUCAUUGUUUGCGUUGCAUACUGGGAUUGAUCCUUUUUAACGUGAAGAAAGCCAAACUACAUCAGAACGUGUUACAACAAUAUGAGUUGUC
ensembl:lncRNA